rnacentral:rRNA from 1 species
ACUCAAAUGAAUUGACGGGGGCCCGCACAAGCGGAGGAACAUGUGGUUUAAUUCGAUGAUACGCGAGGAACCUUACCCGGGCUUGAAAUGCAGACGACCGACGAGGAAACUUGUCUUCCAGCAAUGGCGUCUGUGUAGGUGCUGCAUGGUUGUCGUCAGCUCGUGCCGUGAGGUGUCGGCUUAAGUGCCAUAACGAGCGCAACCCCUAUUGAUAGUUACUAACAGGUUAAGCUGAGGACUCUAUUGAGACUGCCACCGUAAGGUGUGAGGAAGGUGGGGAUGACGUCAAAUCAGCACGGCCCUUACGUCCGGGGCGACACACGUGUUACAAUGGGGGGUACAGAGGGUUGCUACUUGGUGACAAGAUGCUAAUCUCUUAAAGCCUCUCUCAGUUCGGAUCGAAGUCUGCAACUCGACUUCGUGAAGCUGGAUUCGCUAGUAAUCGCGCAUCAGCCAUGGCGCGGUGAAUACGUUCCCGGGCCUUGUACACACCGCCCGU